rnacentral:rRNA from 1 species
GACGAACGCUGGCGGCGUGCUUAACACAUGCAAGUCGAACGAAGUGGCGAACGGGUGAGUAACGCGUAAUCAACCUGCCCUUCCGAGGGGGAUAACAGUUGGAAACGUCUGCUAAUACCGCAUACUGAAGGAGGGGCUUGCGUCUGAUUAGCUAGUUGGAGGGGUAACGGCCCACCAAGGCGAUGAUCAGUAGCCGGUCUGGGAGGGGUAACGGACACAAUGGGACUGGAACACGGCCCAGAACCCUACGGGGAGCAGCAGGGGGGAAACUUCCGCAAAGGACGAAAGUCUGACGGAGCAAAGCCGCGGGAGUGAUGACGGGCUUCGGGUUGUAAAGCUCUGUUAGUCGGGACGCGGUACCGGAAUAGAAAGCCACGGCUAACUACGUGCCAGCAGCCGCGGUAAUUC